GGACAGAGAAGCGUGCUGGGUGUGAUGAAACCAUGUGAGGAUUUGUGGAUCCCACCUUGAGGUGCGUAGAGAGGGCCCAUGCCCUUCUGAACAGAAUGUCUUUGAAACAACUGUGCCUAUAACCAAGUUCAUUCAUCCUGGUGGACAAGAUACUUCUCCGUCCAUCGGUCUGUCCUGCCAACUCUGGUGUGAGUGUGAAGUUGUGGCAAGAGGGAUUUCCUAUUCCUAAUUUGACCUGGUGGACACCAACUUUCCUAGUAAAUUGCCGAUGUUGCUGAGGAGGCAGCAGUAUCAAAGCCCUUGUGGAUGAAGAUACAACAAGUUUUGGGAGGCUUUGGCAUCUCUAUACAGUGCUGCUCCCUGAAUGAAGCAAAGCAAGCUAGAGGAAAACUAGCAAAGAUGCAAAAAGAGUACAGGUAGCACAGGAUUUUAUUCUGCUCCACAAAGCUGAAAUGAGGAUCUGGAGUGAACAGGAUCAUUAUGGUUCCUGAACUUGUCCAUUUGUGGAGAAUUCAGAUGGAAAAAGACAAAGAAAGAUACAAAGAAAAGAAAGGAAGAACUCAUUUUUUAAUAUUCAUACAUUUCCCACCAUUCAUACUAAUGCCAAGAGACUGAAAGAGAGAACAGAACACUAAGAAAAAAUGUAUAGUUCCCUAUCUUCUCGAGAACAAGAGUGUAUACAGAAUGAAACCGAUUUGAUGGAAUACAGUUUUGGACAGAAGAAAAGAUUAAUUGGUGUCUUAAAGAAGACUUCUGAAAGAUGAAUGGUCUUCAUACAGUAAAAGUCCAUGGAUAAAAAGAGUAAGAGGGACAAUUCCAGAGUCAUAAAGAUUUGUC